ACGCUGGCGGCAGGCCUAACACAUGCAAGUCGAGCGGUAGCACAGGAGAGCUUGCUCUCUGGGUGACGAGCGGCGGACGGGUGAGUAAUGUCUGGGAAACUGCCUGAUGGAGGGGGAUAACUACUGGAAACGGUAGCUAAUACCGCAUGACCUCGCAAGAGCAAAGUGGGGGACCUUCGGGCCUCACGCCAUCGGAUGUGCCCAGCUGGGAUUAGCUAGUAGGUGGGGUAAUGGCUCACCUAGGCGACGAUCCCUAGCUGGUCUGAGAGGAUGACCAGCCACACUGGAACUGAGACACGGUCCAGACUCCUACGGGAGGCAGCAGUGGGGAAUAUUGCACAAUGGGCGCAAGCCUGAUGCAGCCAUGCCGCGUGUGUGAAGAAGGCCUUAGGGUUGUAAAGCACUUUCAGCGAGGAGGAAGGCGUUGUAGUUAAUAGCUGCAACGAUUGACGUUACUCGCAGAAGAAGCACCGGCUAACUCCGUGCCAGCAGCCGCGGUAAUACGGAGGGUGCAAGCGUUAAUCGGAAUUACUGGGCGUAAAGCGCACGCAGGCGGUUUGUUAAGUCAGAUGUGAAAUCCCCGAGCUUAACUUGGGAACUGCAUUUGAAACUGGCAAGCUAGAGUCUUGUAGAGGGGGGUAGAAUUCCAGGUGUAGCGGUGAAAUGCGUAGAGAUCUGGAGGAAUACCGGUGGCGAAGGCGGCCCCCUGGACAAAGACUGACGCUCAGGUGCGAAAGCGUGGGGAGCAAAC
rnacentral:rRNA from 1 species